AAUCCAUGAUGCGGAUACAUUCUGAACAUAUCCUUCAUCCUUUCCCAAGUUUCAUAAAGGGGCUUUGAAUCCUUUUGCAAAAAGUGAUAAAUGUCAUUUCUCAAUUU